GCAUUAGUAGCUCAAUAUUAGAGCGUCGGUUUUGUAAACCGGAAGUUGAAGGUUAAACUCCUCCCCAAUGCU
rnacentral:tRNA from 1 species